CUACGGGAUGCUGCAGUGGGGAAUAUUGGACAAUGGACCAAAAGUCUGAUCCAGCAAUUCUGUGUGCAUGAUGAAGGUCUUCGGAUCGUAAAGUGCUUUCAAUGGGGAAGAAAAAAAUGACGGUACCCAUAUAAGAAGCGACGGCUAAAUACGUGCCAGCAGCCGCGGUAAUACGUAUGUCGCAAGCGUUAUCCGGAUUUAUUGGGCAUAAAGGGCAUCUAGGCUGUUUAUUAAGUCUGAUGUGAAAAUGCGGGGCUCAACUCCGUAUUGCAUUGGAAACUGAUAGACUAGAGUAUCGGAGAGGUAGGCGGAACUACAAGUGUAGAGGUGAAAUUCGUAGAUAUUUGUAGGAAUGCCGAUAGGGAAGCCAGCUUACUGGACGAAUACUGACGCUGAAGUGCGAAAGCGUGGGGAGCAAACGGGAUUAGAUACCCCAGUAGUC
rnacentral:rRNA from 1 species